rnacentral:rRNA from 1 species
GACAGAGGGUGCAAACGUUGCUCGGAAUUACUGGGCGUAAAGGGCGUGUAGGCGGGAAGGCAAGUCGGGCGUGAAAUCCCUAGGCUCAACCUAGGAACUGCACUCGAAACUACCAUUCUUGAGUGUCGGAGAGGAAAGCGGAAUUCCUGGUGUAGAGGUGAAAUUCGUAGAUAUCAGGAGGAACACCAGUGGCGAAGGCGGCUUUCUGGACGAUAACUGACGCUGAGACGCGAAAGCGUGGGGAGCAAACAGG